rnacentral:precursor_RNA from 12 species
ACCUGUACUUUUGAGCUGCUGAAGGUCCACUAGACAUUCUGAUACCCCACUGUUUGUAUGACUCUUUGAACAAUGGCUCUCAGAAUGUUGUGGGCCUUUAGCACCCACAACAUCAUCUUCU